AAUUAUAUAGUCUAAUAAGGAUUUUAAAUUGCAAAUUUAAAGGUAAGUAAAAUUUAUAAUUU
rnacentral:tRNA from 1 species